rnacentral:rRNA from 2 species
UUAAGCGACUAAGCGUACACGGUGGAUGCCCUGGCAGUCAGAGGCGAUGAAGGACGUGCUAAUCUGCGAAAAGCGCCGGCGAGGUGAUAUGAACCCUUGACCCGGCGAUGUCCGAAUGGGGAAACCCAGUGCAAUUCGUUGCACUAUCGUUAACUGAAUACAUAGGUUAACGAGGCGAACCGGGGGAACUGAAACAUCUAAGUACCCCGAGGAAAAGAAAUCAACCGAGAUUCCCCCAGUAGCGGCGAGCGAACGGGGAGCAGCCCGGAGUCUGAAUCAGCUUGUGUGUUAGUGGAACGGUCUGGAAAGUCCGACGGUACAGGGUGAUAGUCCCGUACACGAAAGCACACAUGCUGUGAACUCGAAGAGUAGGGCGGGACACGUGGUAUCCUGUCUGAAUAUGGGGGGACCAUCCUCCAAGGCUAAAUACUCCUGACUGACCGAUAGUGAACCAGUACCGUGAGGGAAAGGCGAAAAGAACCCCGGCGAGGGGAGUGAAAAAGAACCUGAAACCGUGUACGUACAAGCAGUGGGAGCCUCUUUAUGGGGUGACUGCGUACCUUUUGUAUAAUGGGUCAGCGACUUAUAUUCUGUAGCAAGGUUAACCGUAUAGGGGAGCCGAAGGGAAACCGAGUCUUAACUGGGCGUUAAGUUGCAGGGUAUAGACCCGAAACCCGGUGAUCUAGCCAUGGGCAGGUUGAAGGUUGGGUAACACUAACUGGAGGACCGAACCGACUAAUGUUGAAAAAUUAGCGGAUGACCUGUGGCUGGGGGUGAAAGGCCAAUCAAACCGGGAGAUAGCUGGUUCUCCCCGAAAGCUAUUUAGGUAGCGCCUCGUGAACUCAUCUUCGGGGGUAGAGCACUGUUUCGGCUAGGGGGCCAUCCCGGCUUACCAACCCGAUGCAAACUACGAAUACCGAAGAAUGUUAUCACGGGAGACACACGGCGGGUGCUAACGUCCGUCGUGAAGAGGGAAACAACCCAGACCGCCAGCUAAGGUCCCAAAGUCAUGGUUAAGUGGGAAACGAUGUGGGAAGGCACAGACAGCCAGGAUGUUGGCUUAGAAGCAGCCAUCAUUUAAAGAAAGCGUAAUAGCUCACUGGUCGAGUCGGCCUGCGCGGAAGAUGUAACGGGGCUAAACCAUGCACCGAAGCUGCGGCAGCGACGCUUAUGCGUUGUUGGGUAGGGGAGCGUUCUGUAAGCCGUUGAAGGUGUGCUGUGAGGCAUGCUGGAGGUAUCAGAAGUGCGAAUGCUGACAUAAGUAACGAUAAAGCGGGUGAAAAGCCCGCUCGCCGGAAGACCAAGGGUUCCUGUCCAACGUUAAUCGGGGCAGGGUGAGUCGACCCCUAAGGCGAGGCCGAAAGGCGUAGUCGAUGGGAAACAGGUUAAUAUUCCUGUACUUGGUGUUACUGCGAAGGGGGGACGGAGAAGGCUAUGUCAGCCGGGCGACGGUUGUCCCGGUUUAAGCAUGUAGGCGGAGGUUCCAGGUAAAUCCGGUACCUUGUUAACGCUGAGGUGUGAUGACGAGGCACUACGGUGCUGAAGUGAUAAAUGCCCUGCUUCCAGGAAAAGCCUCUAAGCAUCAGGUAACACGAAAUCGUACCCCAAACCGACACAGGUGGUCAGGUAGAGAAUACCAAGGCGCUUGAGAGAACUCGGGUGAAGGAACUAGGCAAAAUGGUGCCGUAACUUCGGGAGAAGGCACGCUGAUGUGUAGGUGAAGCCCCUGCGGGUGGAGCUGAAAUCAGUCGAAGAUACCAGCUGGCUGCAACUGUUUAUUAAAAACACAGCACUGUGCAAACACGAAAGUGGACGUAUACGGUGUGACGCCUGCCCGGUGCCGGAAGGUUAAUUGAUGGGGUUAGCGGCAACGCGAAGCUCUUGAUCGAAGCCCCGGUAAACGGCGGCCGUAACUAUAACGGUCCUAAGGUAGCGAAAUUCCUUGUCGGGUAAGUUCCGACCUGCACGAAUGGCGUAAUGAUGGCCAGGCUGUCUCCACCCGAGACUCAGUGAAAUUGAACUCGCUGUGAAGAUGCAGUGUACCCGCGGCAAGACGGAAAGACCCCGUGAACCUUUACUAUAGCUUGACACUGAACACUGGUCCUUGAUGUGUAGGAUAGGUGGGAGGCUUUGAAGCGUGGACGCCAGUCUGCGUGGAGCCAACCUUGAAAUACCACCCUUUAAUGGCUGGUGUUCUAACGUAGACCCGUAAUCCGGGUUGCGGACAGUGUCUGGUGGGUAGUUUGACUGGGGCGGUCUCCUCCCAAAGAGUAACGGAGGAGCACGAAGGUUGGCUAAUCCUGGUCGGACAUCAGGAGGUUAGUGCAAUGGCAUAAGCCAGCUUGACUGCGAGCGUGACGGCGCGAGCAGGUGCGAAAGCAGGUCAUAGUGAUCCGGUGGUUCUGAAUGGAAGGGCCAUCGCUCAACGGAUAAAAGGUACUCCGGGGAUAACAGGCUGAUACCGCCCAAGAGUUCAUAUCGACGGCGGUGUUUGGCACCUCGAUGUCGGCUCAUCACAUCCUGGGGCUGAAGUAGGUCCCAAGGGUAUGGCUGUUCGCCAUUUAAAGUGGUACGCGAGCUGGGUUUAGAACGUCGUGAGACAGUUCGGUCCCUAUCUGCCGUGGGCGCUGGAGAAUUGAGGGGGGCUGCUCCUAGUACGAGAGGACCGGAGUGGACGCAUCACUGGUGUUCGGGUUGUCAUGCCAAUGGCACUGCCCGGUAGCUAAAUGCGGAAGAGAUAAGUGCUGAAAGCAUCUAAGCACGAAACUUGCCCCGAGAUGAGUUCUCCCUGAGAC